AUAUAUAUAUAUUAUUAUGCAUACAAUCGCUGUUAUUAUUGUAUAUCACAUUAAUAGUGCAGACAUACACAUGUGAUUUCAAGAGAACUUUGCGCAAUCAUAAUUUUAAGCAGUGUGUUCUUAAAUGUACGGUAAUUAAAAUUUUCAUAUUUAAUAAUACAUUUAUGCGAUAUUUCUAGUAUGGAAAAUAAAUGUACGUGAUGUGACGGAAUUCUUUCUUCGCGAUAUCUUACAUCUUACAUAUGUUUUUACUUCGAUUCUCGGAACGCCGCGCCAAGCCGGGCGUUGUGGGCGAACAUGUUUUAUUUCACUCGCGCGUUCGUAUCGCGCGUUCAUUCUCUUUUUGUCUGCCACUCGCAGCAGUUCGUUGAAGUUCGCUCGCGCGUGAUCUCUCUCGAAAUCGCGUCAAAGUCAAAGUAGUGUCGUGUGUGCCGUGUUUAGCAGUUCGAUACGCGUACGUCAAUUUUAGUGUAUCAUUGCGAUCGAUAGCUCCGUCAAUAUAUGUAUAUCCGUAUUGCGUCGUUUAACUUCAAACGCUAGUCAUCAAAGUCAGUCGAUUCCGAGAUUAGUGAAAGAGGUUACGUUUCGGGUGGAAAGGCAAUGAUGUGAAGUCGCGCGAUUUCGACCUCUUAUUCAUUCUAGUGAGUAUCGCGAGUGUCGAGAUUAUCUUAUGAUUUAGAUUAUUUGAAGUUGGCAAUGAGCAUCGCGAGUGUCGAGAUUAUAUUAAUUUUAAUUUAAAAGUUGGCGAAAGUGCAUCGCGAGUUUAAACAUAUAACCGACAGUGCGACAAGGCACACGAGAAGAUAUAUCGUUUCGCAUGAUUUGUCUAAAACGCGAGUCUAUUAAAUAUCCGGGAGUGCCGCGAAUAUUGUGAUGAUGAAGCGUUCGUCCCAGAAAAACUGGCAAGUACGAUGCGUCACCGCAAGUGAUCGUUCUCUCUACAGAGGACUGCACCUGCAUCGAUGAUUGGUGAUGAUUCGAAGAAGACGUACUUACUCCGAUCACAUCGAGAGCAUCGUCCACGGUGAUUUCAUAGUCCUUGCCUUUCAAUCGAGUGAUGGAUUGCAAACACAUAACAGCCUGCCUCAAAUCGCCACCCGAUGCUUCGACGAUUUUCUCCAGAACACUUCUAUCGGCCUUCAGAUUCUCUUCAUUGCAUAUAUACUCGAGUCUGCUGAUACUUUUCUCAUCACUCAGCGGCUUGAAGCGGAAUUUGGUGCAACGCGACGCUAUUGGUUUGAUAAUUCUCGAUAAAUAAUUGCAUACUAGGCAAAAGCGCGUGCUAUGAGCCUCCUUUUCUAUAAUUCGACGAAGAGCUGUUUGCGCGGCGCCAGUCAUACUGUCCGCUUCGUCCAAUAUGAUAAUCUUAAAUGGGGGACAUUUUUCCCGCUACAAAAGUGAAAAAAAUUUGAAAUAAGGUAUUAAAACCAUUAAUUUUAUUUUGUCUCAUUUAAUAAAUAUUAAAGCAGUAUUAUAAUGUCUCAGCAUAUGCCAUUUUGAUCAUAAAUCGCAGUACAGCGCACGAGAUAUCAAGAAGGGAUGAUUAUUAAUCCUAAUGUACACGUGUUAAGUCAAUAAUCAAUUUUUAUGUAAGAGAUACUAGUUAGUCA